UACAGAGGUCUCAACCGUUGUUCGGAUUCAUUGGGCGUAAAGGGUGCGUAGGCGGUCGUGCAAGUCGGAUGUGAAAUCUCAGGGCUCAACCCUGAAACUGCAUUCGAUACUGCGUGGCUAGAGUGCUGGAGAGGAGACUGGAAUUUACGGUGUAGCAGUGAAAUGCGCAGAUAUCAGGAAGAACACCCGUGGCGAAGGCGGUUCUCUGGAACGCAACUGACGCUGAGACGCGAAAGCGUGGGGAGCAAACAGG
rnacentral:rRNA from 1 species